UUCAACGGAGAGUUUGAUCCUGGCUCAGGACGAACGCUGGCGGCGUGCUUAACACAUGCAAGUCGAGCGGUAAGGCCUUUCGGGGUACACGAGCGGCGAACGGGUGAGUAACACGUGGGUGAUCUGCCCUGCACUUCGGGAUAAGCCUGGGAAACUGGGUCUAAUACCGGAUAUGACCUCCUAUCGCAUGGUGGGUGGUGGAAAGA
rnacentral:rRNA from 1 species